GUGAAUCAUCGAAUUUUUGAACGCAAAUUGCACUCUCCUCGGAGAGUAUGCCUGUUUGAGUGUCAGCCUAUAAAAAAUCGACAUCGUUGCUGUUUCGCGGUGGCGUUCGUCGGAAAUUGGGCUAUCUUAUUUCCUUUUGGGUUUUAAGUGACUUAAUAUUUUCUUUUUGGUUUCAUGAACGCUUCUAAGUUUUAUUUCUUUACAGGUUUAAGGUAUCGAUUUUUAUUAGUGGUGAACAUCAUUUCGGAUCGCGUUCAU
rnacentral:misc_RNA from 1 species